UACAGAGGGUGCGAGCGUUAAUCGGAAUUAUUGGGCGUAAAGAGCUUGUAGGCGGUUUGUCGCGUCUGCUGUGAAAUCUCAAGGCUCAACCUUGAGCUUGCAGUGGGUACGGGCAGACUAGGGUGUGGUAGGGGAGACUGGAAUUCCUGGUGUAGCGGUGAAAUGCGCAGAUAUCAGGAGGAACACCGAUGGCGAAGGCAGGUCUCUGGGCCACUACUGACGCUGAGAAGCGAAAGCAUGGGGAGCGAACAGG
rnacentral:rRNA from 1 species